UUUAGUCCUGCGUCGCCAUGUGUGAUCUGUGGCGAGGCGGGUAGAGAUAAUCACGUGAGCGGACCUGCCCCUGACUCUGGGAUAACAGCCGGAAACGGCUGCUAAUACCGGAUAUGCACCGUGAACGCAUGUUCUGUGGUGGGAAAGAUUUUUCGGUUGGGGAUGGGCUCGCGGCCUAUCAGCUUGUUGGUGAGGUAAUGGCUCACCAAGGCGUCGACGGGUAGCCGGCCUGAGAGGGUGACCGGCCACACUGGGACUGAGACACGGCCCAGACUCCUACGGGAGGCAGCAGUGGGGAAUAUUGCACAAUGGGCGAAAGCCUGAUGCAGCAACGCCGCGUGAGGGAUGACGGCCUUCGGGUUGUAAACCUCUUUUAGCAGGGAAGAAGCGAGAGUGACGGUACCUGCAGAAAAAGCGCCGGCUAACUACGUGCCAGCAGCCGCGGUAAUACGUAGGGCGCAAGCGUUAUCCGGAAUUAUUGGGCGUAAAGAGCUCGUAGGCGGUUUGUCGCGUCUGCUGUGAAAACUGGAGGCUCAACCUCCAGCCUGCAGUGGGUACGGGCAGACUAGAGUGCGGUAGGGGAGAUUGGAAUUCCUGGUGUAGCGGUGGAAUGCGCAGAUAUCAGGAGGAACACCGAUGGCGAAGGCAGAUCUCUGGGCCGUACCUGACGCUGAGGAGCGAAAGGGUGGGGAGCGAACAGGCCUAAGAUACCCCUGGUAGUCCACCCCGUUAACCGUUGGGGAACUAGUUUGUGGGGGGCCUUUUCCCCGGGUCUCCGGGACCCACCCUACGCAUUACGGUUCCCCGCCCUGGGGAAUUCGGGCCCAA
rnacentral:rRNA from 1 species